UAGGGAAUCUUCCACAAUGGACGCAAGUCUGAUGGAGCAACGCCGCGUGAGUGAAGAAGGUUUUCGGACCGUAAAGCUCUGUUGUUGGUGAAGAAGGAUAGAGGUAGUAACUGGCCUUUAUUUGACGGUAAUCAACCAGAAAGUCACGGCUAACUACGUGCCAGCAGCCGCGGUAAUACGUAGGUGGCAAGCGUUGUCCGGAUUUAUUGGGCGUAAAGCGAGCGCAGGCGGAAGAAUAAGUCUGAUGUGAAAGCCCUCGGCUUAACCGAGGAAUUGCAUCGGAAACUGUUUUCUUGAGUGCAGAAGAGGAGAGUAGAACUCCAUGUGUAGCGGUGGAAUGCGUAGAUAUAUGGAAGAAUACCAAUGGCGAAGGCGGCUCUCUGGUCUGCAACUGACGCUGAGGCUCGAAAGCAUGGGUAGCGAACAGGAUUAGAUACCCUGGUAGUCCAUGCCGUAAACGAUGAGUGCUAAGUGUUGGGAGGCUUCCGCCUCUCAGUGCUGCAGCUAACGCAUUAAGCACUCCGCCUGGGGGAGUACGACCGCAAGGUUGAAAC
rnacentral:rRNA from 1 species